GACGAACGCUGGCGGCGUGCUUAACACAUGCAAGUCGAACGGUGAAGCGCCUUCCUUUUUGGUGGGUGUGGAUGAGUGGCGAAAGGGUGAGUAACACGUGAGUAACCUGCCCCCUUCUUCUGGAUAACCGCAUGAAAGAGUGGCUAAUACGGGCUAUUCUGGGUCUGUCGCAUGAUGGGUCUGGGAAAGAUAUUGUGUCGGUGGGGGAUGGGCUGGCGGCCUAUCAGCUUGUUGGGGGGGUGAUUGCCUACCACGGCGGUGUCGGGUAGCCGGCCUGGGAGGGUCGACGGUCCUGCGGGGGCGGCGGCACGCCCCAGACUCCGACGGGAGGCAGCAGUGGAUAAUAUUGCACAGUGGGCGGAAGGCUGAUGCAGCGACGCGGCGUGAGUGAUGGAGGCCUUCGUGUUGUGAACCUCUUUCGCGAGUGAAGCAGGCCUGCCUCGUAUGUGGGUGGGUUGACGGUAGCUGGAUAAGAAGCGCCGGCUAACUACGUG
rnacentral:rRNA from 1 species